AAUUGAGUAUAAAAGGAACUAAUGAGAUAGAAACUCAGAAGGACAAAGACAACAGGUGAUGAGAGAGAGAAUUGUGACUGCAAAGAGUGAACAUAUUUUUGGAAGAUAAAAAGUGGAAGGAGGAGUGAGCAAAAGUAAGAAUGCUGUAUACCAAGUGUGAGCAAACUGGAUGCCAAUGUCAAAGGAGCCAAGUCACAGCAUCUAACCCCCCUAGUCCAGGCAAGUGUUCCUCCUCACCCUGCCAGGAUGCCAGAAUCUUACUAUUCUGUGGAGAAGUUGAACUGGAGUGGCUCCACAACCAGGAUGCCGGCCCCAGAAGAAGUGGAGGUGCAAAAGAAAAGGGUCUGAGCACAAGUGUAGAUAUUGAAACAUAAGAUUUCUUCUCCUUCCGGGUGCGCCAACCUUAUGGGUUUGGGUUAUAAUCCUGUGGUAGUAUCAUCUGACUUUUUAAAACUGUAUUUUUUAUUCCUUUUAUAAAAAUUUUACUCACACAUACACAUGCACACACACACGCACACAUACAUGUAUUUUUUUUAAGAGAAGAGGAAAAGCGUUUCUUGCGGAGGAAACAGCCUGUGUGAAGAUCCUAACCAGUGCAUUCAGGGGAGUGGCAAAGAAGACCUGGCAGUGCAAGAGCAGCAGUAGGAGGAGGACAUGGGGAGGAUGAGGUUGGAGAGAGCGGGGUAAGAGGAGGACAUGGGAAGAUGAGGUUGGAGAGCGUGGGGCCAGAUGCUGCGGGACCUUGAGGGCCAUCUGAAAAGUCUGGGUUUUCUUUGAAAUGUAGCCAUGAAAGGUUUUUAAGCCAUGGGUAACAUGAUCUUAUUUAGGUUUAAAGAGUUACUCUAGUUGUAUAAAGAAUAGUUUGUCACAUAUUUAGCUGGGUCUUCGCAUGAAAAAUUAUGUAUCCCAGUACUUUAGAGCGGAAAGGACCUUCAAGAUCAUUUAGUCCAACCCUUUCUUUUAAAAGAUAAGCAAACUAAGAAGCAGAAAAUUUAUGAUUUGCCCAAGGUCACAGAGCUAAUAACUAUGUGAGGCUUUUAAACUAGGAGUUGCAGGGUGAUAGAUUAUACUUUUAAGAAAUCUUUCUACUCUAUAUUUCCUUUGGCCAGAAAUGAUGUCUCCCUUUUCUGAACUUUCAUCUCACUUUAUUUUUCUCUCCUAUGGUGCUUACUCAUUUAUUACCUUGAUCAUAGUUCUUUGUGUUCUUGUCUUGUCUUAUCUCCUUUAUGAGACUAUAAAAGCAAUCCCUGGAGAGCAGGAAAUAUGGUCUUUACCUUACGUGUCUCUGUAGGACAUUGCCUGUAGUAGGUGUUCAGUCAAUGUUUGUUAAGUAAACAGAUCAAUGGACAGGUGAUACGUGAGUGAAUGAAUGAAUGAAUGAAUGAGUUCUCCAUAUGCUAUAAAUACUGAGUGUUUACUGACUGAAUAUGCACGUGUAGAUUAUACUCUCCCUGAUUUAUCAUUCUAGGCUACUUCCUAGCUAUGUUUUCAUUCAUUUUUCUCUUAUAUGUACAUAAUGGAAAGUGGUUAUUUUUAAUCAGAAGAAACGAGGUGGCCUAGAAAAAUAUCACAUUUCUAAGUCAGGUAAUUCUUUCUUCCAAGAUUAUCAGCAGGGAGAGCCUCUCCACACUCUCCCCUUCCUUCCCUCCCACCCU
rnacentral:lncRNA from 1 species